GCAGACAGUGCCCGUGCCGGGGCGGGGAGGCGAGUUCUCCCUGCGGCCGCGGACCCUGGAUGGUGGCGUCGCCCGAAGACGCGCCUCACCGGCCUGGGUGGGGUUGCCUUUUGCCCUCGAGGCUGGCCUGAGCGCUGGGGGGCCGCUGGCUAACCCUGAGGUAGAUACUCGGGAAAUGGGUGGAAUAGGGAAAGGGACUCAGCCCUUCCGCCCUUUUCCCCAGUCGAGGCCCGCGUCACUGCCCUGUGGGUGCAGACGCCUCCAGUGUCACUCCCCUGGGUUUCGCUUGGGCAGAAGAAGAGAUUGUAGGCCGGACCCCAACGCCGAAGCCCUGAGGCUUCUAAUGUGAGGAAAAACACGGAAUGACAAGUGUGGGAAAGAGCAAGCACUAAAUUACUGUCAGAAAAAUAAACGGAGUAGCACAGUGCUGCUCGGUGAUUUACGGGGGCAAUUAGUCACCACCCCACGGCGCUGCUGAGGACAGCACAGCAGCAGACAAGUCAGGCCCACGAGGAAGAAGAGGCUUUGCACUGCUCUCCAGACAACUUUUCAAACAACAAGAGAGGAUAUUUGAGCACAUUAGGUUUUGUGUCUUCAUUCUGGGUACCUACUCUUCAUAUUAUUCUACCAACUUAAUACAUAAACAUAUUUUUAGCACAAUAUGAACCUGUUCUAUGUGUGUUUAAAAGCCUCCAGCAGCAACUUUUUUCUCUCCCACUGUCCAAAGUUGGGUUUUCCCCAUCCCUUAAAAAACAAAACAAAAAAACCUUUCUUCACUCCAAAUUGUCCCCCUGGUGUGUGGUUUUGGUCUGUCUCAUUACUUCUUGCAUCUUGCUACAUGUUCUGCCUUUGCUCAGAGCCACUGGGUGCUAAGGAAUUUGGUCUGCUGCUCCUCUGGGAAAGUUUGGUAAGCUGGUACAAGGAGGUGAUGAACAAGGCUAAAUGAAAAUCAUACAUAAACUUCCCAAUAUUUGUGAACAUGUUCUUUAACAUACCAUACAUAGUUUCUAUGUAUAUGUAACAUAGCAAAACAAACUUGCUAAGGUAUAAUUAAUUGGUAUGCAUGCCUUCAUAAAUAUUCACCAUCAGAAGAAACCUAGAAUGAAAGGUUGUGAAAGAACCCAGGAAUGAGAAAGACUUUAUUGACUAAAGGCCAUGUCUAUGUAGGGGCAACAAUGAAGCUGUGGGUGAGCAAAUGAAGCUUCAUCAGGAGUUUAGUAUCCUUAUGUAGCAUUACCUAAGAAUGCUACCAUAGUAAAUUUCUGAAGUACUUUACCUGUUACAAAGAACGUUUGUAAUCUCCUUUUCUUAUUUGAUCUUGCCCUGGCUUUAGUCAGGAACACCUGCUCAGUUAGAAAUGUAUUCGGUGGGUAUGUACGCAGUUGGAGAAUGUGCCCCAACACACGCCGCCUUUGGCCUGUAUGUUGGAGUCCUAGAGAGGCAGACAAUGUUGAUGAGCUUGGUACCAGCAUGGUGCGCCAUUCAUCUGGACACAAUUUCUGAUAAAGAGGGUCACAACUGGGAGAAACCUCAGAUUCUACUUGCUUCUCUUCUCCACGUUAUUAGACUUUUUUUCCCCUCUUGAAUUUUAUAAGCCCACUCCUUUUAAAACAAUUAAUUAAUAACGAGCGCUGGGAUUUGAUGUAGAAUUGCGUAUUUGUAACUGCAAUGGCACUGGUUUUCAACUACCCUGUAACAAGGAAGCAAUUCUAACCAGCAAAAGAGGCAGACGUGUUUCUGUGCAACAUCACAGGCGUGUGAAAUUGUUCAGAUAUUGAGAUAUCAGGAGUGAUAUAAAUUGGAAAUUUAACCAAAAAUAUUUUCCAUCAGUGAACAAAGCCUAUUUUAAAGUGCCUCUUGCAUUUUUCAGAUCUUUCUCUUUCUUUUUCCCAAAGUCACAUUGUAGUUUCUGAUAAAGGAACACACUGGGAAAACUAAGCACAUAUUUAAUCAAUGAAAUUUAAGGUGUAAAAAUUCUGCAUUUCUGACAAAUUUAAUGUUCACUCUUUUCUUGAUUUAAAUAGAGCAUUCUAAAAAUAUUACGCCUAUAGGGGAUAAAUUUUUAUAUGCAUGUUAUUUUUCUUUACAAAGUGUGGGCUAGUAAAGAGUGAAAAAGACCUUGGCUAUUGUACUUAUUUCUUGAAAGAAAUAAUAGCAUCUUAAUGAUUGGAUUCAAAUCUCUACUUAUCACACAACUUCCAUACAGUUCAAAGAGAGGACUUGGAUUGAAUGAAAACAGAGGGCUGGGGCUUCCUACAUUCCCCUGUGUUUGUGUUCAUACAGAAUAUUUAUGCAAUAUUCUGACUUGGCCAUAAUCUAUAAUUCCUGCCUAUUAUUCUCAGUUGCAACUAUAAAUUCUAGAUUAAUGGUUAUAAUUUUGGUAAGGCAUACAUGAAAAGUUAUAUGUUCCUGCUUGAAAGGAGGAUCAUUAAAUAUUCAUUAUUACCACUCAAAUUAGUUGUCAUGCUCUGUGUAAUAGUUACCCGUUAUCAUUUCACUAGUUUGGAUUCAGCAGUAAGUGAACAGCAAUAUAUAGCUCAUAGCGCCAGAGGACUUUUUUUGUCGGGGAACAGGGAGAGAAAUGAUUUUAAAACCCAUUUGACAUAUUUAUGUUGACAAAUUAUUUAAAGGAAUUACUGUGUUGUAAUAAACAUGUUUGUAUGUUGGAAUAGGAUUGUGGCUAAAUUUGCUUCUAGCUGUUUAAUUACUCUUAUUAUGAUUGUGAAAAACAGUGCUUCUUCAAGUAGUUCCAAGGAAAAAAAAUAGAAAAUGGAAAAGUUGAGCUAUUUCAGUCUUUUGCAGGUAUCUAACCUUGCCAUGAAAAAGCACUUUUCAUUUUUGUAAGUAGGUAUUGAAAUCUUGCUUUUUCAGCGAAGCUAGAUUGUAUAAUUUAUUAGUUUUCUCCGUCUGGUAACACAUCCUUAAGAAAAAAAAUUGCCAAAAGUAAAGCAUGAGAUGGAUUUUAAAAUAAAUGUUGUGGAUGAACAC
rnacentral:sRNA from 1 species